rnacentral:lncRNA from 1 species
GAACUCCAUGGCUUUGGGAUCAUUGUCCCUCUGCCCUCUGGAGCAUCCCAGGGCAGGGAUGUGUCCAAGGAAAACCGGGAUAAAAUCCAGGGAAAUCAGGCACUUCACUUCUCUGACUGAGGUGACAAACCAGUGUCACCUUCCCAAGUGUUCCAGGACUAUUCCCUGUUUUCCCGGCUCCGGGGAACUCCAUGGCUUUGGGAUCAUUGUCCCCCUGGCCCCUGGAGCAUCCCAGAGCAGGGAUGUGUCCAAGGAAAACUGGGAUCCAAUCCAGGGAAACUCGGGAUCCAGCUCUUCUCCUCUGCUCGAGGUGACAAACCAGUGUCACCUUCCCAAGUAUUCCAGGACCAUUCCCUGCCUGUUUUCCCAGCUCCAGGGAACUCCAUGGCUUUGGGAUCAUUGUCCCUCUGCCCUCUGGAGCAUCCCAGGGCAGGGAUGUGUCCAAGGAAAACCGGGAUAAAAUCCAGGGAAAUCAGGCACUUCACUUCUCUGACUGAGGUGACAAACCAGUGUCACCUUCCCAAGUGUUCCAGGACUAUUCCCUGUUUUCCCAGCUCCAGGGAACUCCAUGGCUUUGGGAUCACUGUCCCUCUGCUCCCUGGAGCAUCCCAGAGCAGGGAUGUGGCCAAGGAAAACCAGGAUCUCAUCCAGAGAAACUCGGGAUCCAGCUCUUCUCUGACUGAGGUGACAAACCAGUGUCACCUUCCCAAGCAUUCCAUGACCAUUCCCUGCCUGUUUUCCCAGCUCCAGGAAGCUCCAUGGCUUUGGGAUCAUUGUCCCCCUGCCUUCUGGAACAUCCCAGAGCAGGGAUGUGGCCAAGGAAAACCAGGAUCUCAUCCAGGGAAACUCGGGAUCCAGCUCUUCUCCUCCGCUCGAGGUGACAAACCAGUGUCACCUUCCCAAGCAUUCCAUGACCAUUCCCUGCCUGUUUUCCCGGCUCCAGGAAGCUCCAUGGCUUUGGGGUCAUUGUCCCUCUGCCCUCCUGGAACAUCCCAGGGCAGGGAUGUGGCCAAGGAAAACCGGGAUCCAAUCCAGAGAAACUCAGGAUCCAGCACUUCUCUGACUGAGGUGACAAACCAGUGUCACCUUCCCAAGUAUUCCAAGGCCAUUCCCUGUUUUCCCAGCUCCAGGAAACUCCAUGGCUUUGGGAUCAUUGUCCAUCCAGCCCCCUGGAGCAUCCCAGGGACAUCCAGGGAAAUCCCAGGGACUUCCCUGCUUGGGAACAUCCCUCCUGCUUUUCCAGGGAUAUUCCUGCUUGGGAACAUCCCUCCUGCUUUUCCAGGGAUAUCAUUCCUUGGGAUCAUCCCUCCUGCUUUUCCAGGGAUUUCAUUCCUUGGGAACAUCCCUCCUGCUUUUCCAGGGAUAUCAUUCCUUGGGAUCAUCCCUCCUGCUUUUCCAGGGAUUUCAUUCCUUGGGAUCAUCCCUCCUGCUUUUC